ACCUGCGGAAGGAUCAUUACAGUAUUCUUUUUGCCAGCGCUUAAUUGCGCGGCGAAAAAACCUUACACACAGUGUUUUUUGUUAUUACAAGAACUUUUGCUUUGGUCUGGACUAGAAAUAGUUUGGGCCAGAGGUUUACUGAACUAAACUUCAAUAUUUAUAUUGAAUUGUUAUUUAUUUAAUUGUCAAUUUGUUGAUUAAAUUCAAAAAAUCUUCAAAACUUUCAACAACGGAUCUCUUGGUUCUCGCAUCGAUGAAGAACGCAGCGAAAUGCGAUAAGUAAUAUGAAUUGCAGAUUUUCGUGAAUCAUCGAAUCUUUGAACGCACAUUGCGCCCUCUGGUAUUCCAGAGGGCAUGCCUGUUUGAGCGUCAUUUCUCUCUCAAACCUUCGGGUUUGGUAUUGAGUGAUACUCUUAGUCGAACUAGGCGUUUGCUUGAAAUGUAUUGGCAUGAGUGGUACUGGAUAGUGCUAUAUGACUUUCAAUGUAUUAGGUUUAUCCAACUCGUUGAAUAGUUUAAUGGUAUAUUUCUCGGUAUUCUAGGCUCGGCCUUACAAUAUAACAAACAAGUUUGACCUCAAAUCAGGUAGGAUUACCCGCUGAACUUAAGCAUAUCAAUAAGGCGGAG
rnacentral:rRNA from 1 species